rnacentral:rRNA from 1 species
GGGCCCGCACAAGCAGCGGAGCAUGUGGUUUAAUUCGAAGCAACGCGAAGAACCUUACCAGGUCUUGACAUCCAGUAAAGACUGCCGAGAGACAGAGUGCCUUCGGGCAUACUGAGACAGGUGGUGCAUGGUUGUCGUCAGCUCGUGUCGUGAGAUGUUGGGUUAAGUCCCGCAACGAGCGCAACCCUUGCCAAUAGUUACUAACGGGAAAGCCGAGGACUCUAUUGGGACCGCCGGGGACAACUCGGAGGAAGGCGGGGAUGACGUCAAAUCAUCAUGCCCCUUAUGACCUGGGCUACACACGUGCUACAAUGGCCGCUACAAAGAGAAGCGAAAGCGCAAGCUGGAGCAGAUCUCAAAAAAACGGUCUCAGUUCGGAUUGUGGGCUGCAACCCGCCCACAUGAAGUCGGAGUUGCUAGUAAUCGCGGAUCAGCAUGCCGCGGUGAAUACGUUCCCGGGCCUU